ACUGAAUAAGGGUGGCUAGGUGUCUCAACUGCCUUUUUUUUUCUUUGGUGGGAAGAGUGGCCUGCAAUUUUCAGCUUUUUUCUAUGGAACCUGUUCUGGUUAUGGUCCGUACAUGAAGAAAGAAGGCAUUGAUACCUUUCCCUCCAAAGAAAUCUUAUAUUGCUUCUCUGAGAUUCACUCAUUAGGGAAACUUGGAGGAGUGAAAUUAGAAUUCCUAGAUGCUUUGAGAGCGAACUCACCGAGCUGCAUCUUAGCCUUUUGCUCCUUCAGGAUGUUGAGUUAAAAACACCUGGGAUUAUAGGUUGUGCAAGAUUACAGCUGUGAAGAGUUUGUAUGAACAUAGGCAACAUAAGGUUCAUAUUACCUUAUUAGCAUCCCUAGAAAAGGGAAAUAAGGAAAAACGGAAGUGAACUGCACCAACCGAUCAUUAUGGCAAAGAGGUCCCAAAGAUUCCCUGUGAAUUAUGAGAAAGACCAGUCAGGAUGUAUGUGGGGUUUUAUUAGUAUAUUUGACUUUCGUCAUGCCUGCUUUACUCGAAAGUUGAUCGUGGAUAGGACGCAUGGCAACAAGCAUGUUGUUGGUGCUGCACUUAUCAAGAACAAGUUUGAAGUGUUGAGCAAUUUGGAUAAGAAUAUGAAGGCAAUUUUGUUAGAUUGAAUGGGAAAGAUCUGCCUGAAGAUGGACAAUUCCUGAGCUCACGUGAACUCAUGAAAGCACUUCAGGUUAUAAGUUCAGAUAAGCAAUUGUUUCUUAAACAAGACCCAAAUUCACACUUAUUGAAAUACAUUCAGGAGUUGGAAAAGAAUGCAGUUUAGUUGUCAGAGGUGGCAAAGAGUGCACAUAUGGUAAAUAAAGUUGUGGUAAAUCUUUGGUUCCUUUCAUCUGCUUUCAUUUAUUUCCAAAAGUUAAGAUUGUUUUUUAUAGAAUUGUGGCACAUAUGGUAUAUUGAUUUGGAAAAUAGGGACAACACCAAAGGGGGACAACUAAUAAUAUUGCUAUGUCUGGUAUGUCAGCAUUCAAAACAAUUGGUCUUGCUAGUGUUGGUGCAUUGUAAGUGUCCAUUUUAUUUCUUAAGCAUUUGAAAUUUAUCCAUUGUAUACGAUUAAUUAUAUAGAUAAAUCUUAAUUAACUUGCAUCUGAAAAUUCAUGCUAUAUAUGUUCAUAUAUGACAUGGUCUUCUCAUCCAUGUAUUCUAGAUUUCCAAAAUUCAGAAUUUCAGACUUAUUGGUGAUUCAAUAAUAUUCAUAUUUUAGGCAUAUUUUAGGUUACAAGAUCCUGUUCAAGAAACAAUGAUGUAGUGGAGCCCAUGAUAAAGCCCCAGUGGUAUGUCAAUUGCAAUGAUUUGGCAAAACAAAAUCUAGUAAUUGAUCGUUAGCAUCAUUAUACUGUGUAUGUAAUUAUUAAUAAUAUUUUCCCUCGUUAAAUAUAAGAAAAGCUAUUUUUAAUGCAUGAAAGGACAUACAUCAUGAUCUUUCUUGCGUAGAUUAUUUAGUCCUCUUUUCAUGCAUGAGUUCCGCUUGGAGACCCCACAUAUGCCUCCAAAGGUUCGUUCCUUUCUACUUUGCUUGUGGGGGGCAACUUGUUUAGUUGUUUAAUUUAGCUUUUAUCGAUUUAAUUAUUACUAUAAUUUUAGAAGGAUAAAAUGUGUUUAGUUUUUAUAUUUUUUUGUUGAAUCUUAGGAGGAAUUAAAAAUAUAAUUUUUAUAAAAAGUUAUGGAUUAAAUUGUUUAAUAUGAAAAUUUAGAGAUUAAAAAUAAGAUUCAACAAAACGAAAGUAUAAUAAUAAAAGCAUAUUCUUUUCUUUUUAAAAUGGUGUAAUUAAUGUGUAUAAAGUUAAUUUUAGAAAUUAGAACAUGAAUUUCUAAAAAGAAAUUAAAGUGCUCUUUUAAGAAACUCGUUAAAGAUAAAAGAUAGUAUUUACUAAUGAUUUGAAUUUUUAUAAUAUUGCUUGCAUAAGUUACUCCCAAAAAAAUGUUCUUUACCAAAGAUUUGUUGUUAGAUUAAUCUUUAUUAAUAUAACUUUUAACGAACAGAAAUUAAAUGGUCGGGUCAUCAUCUUUCCUAGUUUAUUUUAAUUUUAAAUACUACUUACUAUAGCUUAUCAUAUAAUAGCGGAUGGAUAUUUUGAUUACCAAUGUGAGUUGCCUUCCCUAUUAAGGCUUUGUUCGGCCAUUGUAUGGUAUGGUUGUGAGCCACUGUCUUAGAAGGCCAAGGGUAUUCAGAGCACCUAAUCUUAUAAAUCUGAGAUUCAGAAGAACAGUUUAUAGGUUCUUACUGAGUUCCUAUACCAUUUGCAGCUUUUAAAUCCUGAAUGUAAAUCCUCAAAGCAACUGAAAGGUAAAUUUAAUUAGGUGUUUCAAUUUCAAUAUUUCUGUGCUCGAGGUAGCAGAACGGUUAAAUGAAUUAAACUAAAAUUGAUUCCCUUGGAUAUACCUAUACUGUUAUUGUUGUAUGUAAGUUUCAAAACUACCUACUAUAUUUGAUUCUCAUUUUUUUUUCUUCUAAUAAUGAACCUCUCUUUUCUUUCUUGGGUCAAUUGAACAUCUAAUUUUAGAUUCCUGUAAAAAAAACUUGAAUGGUUUUAAUUAUAUUAUACUCCUUAGAAAGAAGACAAUAUUUUUUAUUUUUUUCACUAAAUUUUCAUUAAGUUAAGCUGUAUAAGUUUCUUCUCUCAUUCAUAUUGCACAUUUGCAGCUUUAGUUUGCAAGAUUGAAGUGAAGACACAGUGAAUAUGUGGCUGUGUGCUACCAAAAGAUGAUGAUCUUGUUAUAUAUUGCAUUGGUGAGAGAAGUGAAGUCGGAAUGCUUGAUACAGGAAAAAUACAGUGGAAAAGCAUUCACAAGCAUUAUAAUACUUAUCUAUUUUGGAAAUCUUUCCAAGUUACAAUGAUUCCCACUAAUCAUAACUCGUAAGAUCUUGUGUAAUUAAAAUGGAAAUAGGAGACAUUUUUUCAAAUCAAACUCCCCCUUGUGUAUCUGUAUUGUAUUUAUGAUCUUGUGUGCUGAAAAAACGCUUUUGCAAAAUAGAAGUCUUUGUUUUGAACUUCCUGAGUUUUGGUAGUUUGAUGAUUUAUUCAUUGGAAGAAAAUGUUCAGCUGAUUUGAUAAAGGAAAUGUAAUUGUAUGAGUAAACCCUCAAAUUAGUCCUUAAGAUUGUAUCCAUCAAUCACUUUAGUCCCUUUUGUUCCUUUUUAAAAUUUACUCCCAACUUUUGUAAAAGGGCACUCUCCUUAGUCUUUAGUCCUUUUCUAUCUCAUUUUUGACUGACAUUAAGGAUUACAAUGAAUGACUACAAAGUCGGACUAAAUAAGAAUCUUAAAAAGUCAGACUAAAGUGACUAACUCCAAAAACUAAUUUAGGGGUUUACCCAUACUUGUACAGAUGCAUAUCAAAGACUAGUUUUCUUCUUGCUUGCAGAAAUCAAUUCCCAAUAAGGUACACUUCAUAAACACCCUUUUUCUUGGCUUAUACUCAUUGUAUUAUAAUAUAAUAUUCAUGAUCACACAGGGUGACUUCUUAGUACAUUUAAUGGAUAUUGCAUGAGAUGAACUGACUAAAAAGCAUGAUGAAGUUUCAGUUGAGAAGCUGCAGGUAUAGUAAUGAAAUAUCCUUCAAUUUACCCUAAAUAUUAUUUUCUCCUAGUAAAUUUAAUUUUUCAAUUUCCUAUUUUAAUUUUGACAGGGACCUAUAUUCUAGUUAUGUGGUUUUCCUUUUCUAUUUUCUUGUUUUCCUCUUUGUUGUUUACUCUCUUCUAGACCUUGCAUUACCACAACCUGUUUUGUGAUAAGUAACCAAUUCAGCUUGUAAGAAACUCUCAGAGUUGUAAACUUCAGUAUUCACACAUGAUGCGAACAUUUCACUUUCAAGAAAGAUCUUCUCUACUUAGAAGGUUGGACACAUUUAAUGAUCUUGAAGUUACUCUGAGAAAUUCUGGUGACAAUCAUUUGGAGGAGCCUAUUAGCAUCACUAGCCUUGAAACAUUUUCACUAAGUUACAAUGUCUUUUCUUCUCCAUAAGUUUUUGAGAGUGUCUUGCAUUUGCAUCGUUAAUGCUCUAUUUUUGGUUCUGGUUUCAGGUGCACUGGCCACUGUCUAUAGUGUUAUCACCAUAUAAUGGUUUGCUCUCUAUCACUGUGUGUUGUCUCCAUUAUUCUCAAUUUAUUAUAUUUCAAUUAACACUAAUAUCUUCUAUUAUCUUACUUUGGUGACUAAAAUAUAUUUUAUUGCAUAAAUCUCUCCUGUAGGUCAGGUGGUCUUAGAUGCACCAUUACACAUCAAAUGUCCACAAAAUUGUCAAAUUUUAUGCGUUAAUCCACUUGUUGUUUCUACAAGUUCAAGUGCUCAUUUAACUUAGUGCUAGAAAUGUGAGGUUAUUAUUGUUUAGUAGCUCUAGCAGGUGUGAUCUUGUUUGAUAACAAAGCUCCAAAAAUAUAAUUUAUCUGUGUGCAUUUGGUAAGAUAUAAUGUACAUAUAUGUGUCAGAAACUAAUUGUAUCAUAAAUUUAUAUACUAGGCUUCAUCCUGUGGUGAUUCCUCUGUUUGCUUCAUUCAAGAGUAGAUCCUCUUGUGAUGUUGUCUUGUACUGUCAGCAUUGCAUUAAUGAUAGCUCGCACAAUCAUAGUAGGAUAAAGCUUUCCAUACCAUGCGUUGUCAAUGAGAAGGGAAAUAUUAGUCUACUACUAGGUCAGGAAUUGGUACUGGAUCUACUGGUUUCACCCCCACCUUAUUUGGCACCCUUCACAAUUGGACCAAUAGUUCUGAAGGGUGUAAACUAUGCCUCUGGUGGAGGUGGAAUCUUUGUGACCAUCAUGAUAUC